rnacentral:rRNA from 1 species
AUUGAACGCUGGCGGCAUGCUUUACACACGCAAGUCGAACGGUAACAGGGAGCUUGCUCCGCUGACGAGUGGCGAACGGGUGAGUAAUGCGUCGGAACGUGCCGAGUAGUGGGGGAUAACGCAGCGAAAGUUGUGCUAAUACCGCAUACGUACUGAGGUAGAAAGUGGGGGACCUUCGGGCCUCACGCUAUUCGAGCGGCCGACGUCUGAUUAGCUAGUUGGUGAGGUAAAGGCUCACCAAGGCGACGAUCAGUAGCGGGUCUGAGAGGAUGAUCCGCCACACUGGGACUGAGACACGGCCCAGACUCCUACGGGAGGCAGCAGUGGGGAAUUUUGGACAAUGGGGGCAACCCUGAUCCAGCCAUGCCGCGUGAGUGAAGAAGGCCUUCGGGUUGUAAAGCUCUUUCGGACGGGAAGAAAUCGCAUCGGCUAAUACCUGGUGCGGAUGACGGUACCGUAAUAAGAAGCACCGGCUAACUACGUGCCAGCCGCCGCGGUAACAC